rnacentral:rRNA from 1 species
AGGGCACCACCAGGAGUGGAGCCUGCGGCUUAAUUUGACUCAACACGGGAAAACUCACCCGGCCCGGACACUGGAAGGAUUGACAGAUUGAGAGCUCUUUCUUGAUUCAGUGGGUGGUGGUGCAUGGCCGUUCUUAGUUGGUGGAGUGAUUUGUCUGGUUAAUUCCGAUAACGAACGAGACUCUAGCCUACUAAAUGGAUCGUCGGGUUACAAACGCCGGCGAGACUUCUUAGAGGGACAGGCGGUGAUUCAACCGCACGAAACAGAGCAAUAACAGGUCUGUGAUGCCCUUAGAUGUCCGGGGCCGCACGCGCGCUACACUGAAGUGAUCAGCGUGCUUUUUCAACCUACUCUGUCAAGAGUGGGGAACCCAAUGAACCUUCUUCGUGAUUGGGAUAGGGGAUUGUAAUUAUUCCCCUUGAACGAGGAAUUCCCAGUAAGCGCGAGUCAUAAGCUCGCGUUGAUUACGUCCCUGCCCUUUGUACACACCGCCCGUCGCUACUACCGAUUGAAUGUUUU